GCCUGCCCAGUGACACAAUGUUCAACGGCCGCGGUAUUUUGACCGCGUGAAGGUAGCGUAAUCAUUUGUCUUUUAAAUGAAGACCUGUAUGAAUGGCAUAACGAGGGCUUAACUGUCUCAUCCUCCCAGUCAAUGAAAUUGAUCUCCCCGUGCAGAAGCGGGGAUAAACACAUAAGACGAAAAGACCCUGUGGAGCUUUAGAUUACAGAGCAGUCUUAAUAAAACUUUUUAAAGCCCCUGCUCAUUUAUCUUCGGUUGGGGCGACCACGGAGAAAACUUAUCCUCCACGCUGCACAAAACACCAUGUUUUUAUAGCCAAGAGCGACAGCUCUAAGCACCAGAAUCUCUGACCCCAAAGAUCCGGACACACCGAUCAACGAACCAAGUUACCCCAGGGAUAACAGCGCAAUCCCCUUCUAGAGCCCUUAUCGACAAGGGGGUUUACGACCUCGAUGUUGGAUCAGGGCAUCCUAAUGGCGCAACCACUAUUAAGGGUUCGUUUGUUCAACGAUUAAAGCCCUACGUGAUCUGA
rnacentral:rRNA from 1 species